UUUAGGUAUUUUUACACCUUCAAGCGCCAUCCCUCGACAAAGGACUGGUGGUAUUUCUCCCCCCAGUUUGGUAAGAAGGGGUUACUAAAAGGUGCUCUCUCUUCAAUCCACAACUGGAAGGGGAAGUACCUCUUCGUCCAAUGCCCAACCUUGAGGCUGGGAUUGCUCCCUUGGGGCUCCCUAAGGGACUCUGCCCGCAGGGCCCCU
rnacentral:lncRNA from 1 species